GCUUACCCCAGCUAUCAUGUAAGUCGACGCGCAGCGAGAGGUGCUUGCACCUUUCAAGCGAGUGGCGAACGGGUGAGUAACACGUGGAUAACCUGCCUCAAGGCUGGGGAUAACAUUUGGAAACAGAUGCUAAUACCGAAUAAAACUUAGUAUCGCAUGAUAUAAAGUUAAAAGGCGCUACGGCGUCACCUAGAGAUGGAUCCGCGGUGCAUUAGUUAGUUGGUGGGGUAAAGGCUUACCAAGACAAUGAUGCAUAGCCGAGUUGAGAGACUGAUCGGCCACAUUGGGACUGAGACACGGCCCAAACUCCUACGGGAGGCUGCAGUAGGGAAUCUUCCACAAUGGGCGCAAGCCUGAUGGAGCAACGCCGCGUGUGUGAUGAAGGCUUUCGGGUCGUAAAGCACUGUUGUAUGGGAAGAAAUGCUAAAAUAGGGAAUGAUUUUAGUUUGACGGUACCAUACCAGAAAGGGACGGCUAAAUACGUGCCAGCAGCCGCGGUAAUACGUAUGUCCCGAGCGUUAUCCGGAUUUAUUGGGCGUAAAGCGAGCGCAGACGGUUGAUUAAGUCUGAUGUGAAAGCCCGGAGCUCAACUCCGGAAUGGCAUUGGAAACUGGUUAACUUGAGUGUUGUAGAGGUAAGUGGAACUCCAUGUGUAGCGGUGGAAUGCGUAGAUAUAUGGAAGAACACCAGUGGCGAAAGGCGGCUUACUGGACAACAACUGACGUUGAGGCUCGAAAGUGUGGGUAGCAAACAGGAUUAGAUACCCUGGUAGUCCACACCGUAAACGAUGAAUACUAGGUGUUAGGAGGUUUCCGCCUCUUAGUGCCGAAGCUAACGCAUUAAGUAUUCCGCCUGGGGAGUACGACCGCAAGGUUGAAACUCAAAGGAAUUGACGGGGACCCGCACAAGCGGUGGAGCAUGUGGUUUAAUUCGAAGCAACGCGAAGAACCUUACCAGGUCUUGACAUCCUUUGAAGCUUUUAGAGAUAGAAGUGUUCUCUUCGGAGACAAAGUGACAGGUGGUGCAUGGUCGUCGUCAGCUCGUGUCGUGAGAUGUUGGGUUAAGUCCCGCAACGAGCGCAACCCUUAUUGUUAGUUGCCAGCAUUCAGUUGGGCACUCUAGCGAGACUGCCGGUGACAAACCGGAGGAAGGCGGGGACGACGUCAGAUCAUCAUGCCCCUUAUGACCUGGGCUUCACACGUGCUACAAUGGCGUAUACAACGAGUUGCCAACCUGCGAAGGUGAGCUAAUCUCUUAAAGUACGUCUCAGUUCGGACUGCAGUCUGCAACUCGACUGCACGAAGUCGGAAUCGCUAGUAAUCGCGGAUCAGCACGCCGCGGUGAAUACGUUCCCGGGUCUUGUACACACCGCCCGUCACACCAUGGGAGUUUGUAAUGCCCAAAGCCGGUGGCCUAACCUUCGGGAGGGAGCCGUCUAAGGCAGGACAGAUGACUGGGUAGAAGUCGUAUCGAGUGGGCAUGC
rnacentral:rRNA from 1 species